rnacentral:rRNA from 1 species
GAUGAACGCUAGCUACAGGCUUAACACAUGCGAGUCGAGGGGAAACGAUAGAGAAAGCUUGCUUUUUCUAGGCGUCGACCGGCGCACGGGUGAGUAACGCGUAUCCAACCUGCCCAUCACUUGGGGAUAACCUUGCGAAAGUAAGACUAAUACCCAAUGACGUCCAUAGAAGACAUCUGAAAUGGAUUAAAGAUUUAUCGGUGAUGGAUGGGGAUGCGUCUGAUUAGCUUGUUGGCGGGGUAACGGCCCACCAAGGCGACGAUCAGUAGGGGUUCUGAAAGAAAAGUCCACCACAUUGGCGCUGAAACAUGGUCUAAACGCCUACGGGGGGCAGCAGUAAGGAGAAUUGGUAAAUGGACGAGAAUCUUAACCAGCCAAAUAGCGUGCAGGAGGACGGCCAUAUGGGUUGUAAACUGCUUUUAUAAGGGAAUAAAGUGGGAGUCGUGACUCCUUUUGCAUGUACCUUAUGAAUAAGGACCGGCUAAUUCCGUGCCAGCCGCCGCCGUAA